GGGAGCUAGAAGGUGUGAGUAAGGCUGGAGAUGUGGGUACAGACUGAUCAGAUUUCCUGGUAGCAAUAAGAGCAUAUAACAUCAUAAAACAGGGGAUUUCACUGCCCUGAAUCACUGCCAAACAGGGAAACUAAGGCUGAGAGGUGAUUUGAUCAAGGUCAUACAGCAAGUGGUGGAAGGACGACUAGAAUCCAGGAUUUGCAUAUCAGAGAGCAAAACCGAGAAAAGUCAGAGGGUAUACUCUGCCUCCAGCAUGGGUGCUCACUCAUCUCAUGUUUAGAGCCUGGCAUGGAUUCUGGUACAUGGAAGCGUUAGAUGGGCAGGGUAAAAAGGAGGACAAGAAUGAAUACUUGGGUAUAAUCUGCUCUUGCUGUUGGAUGAGGAAGCUGAGACACAAUCACGGAAGAGCAAGAUUUAAAAGCCGGCAGUCUGACUCCUGAUCUCUCACUCAUCCACUACUGUAGACAGCCUUCUCUGUGUUUCAUUAGCACAUAACAAGAAUUCAUGCUCUCGGAGUACAAAGCAGGGUUUGUAAUAUCAAUAAAAGAGACACUUUCAUAGUGUUUUAGCUGAGUCUUGAGGAGAAAAGUAGAGUUUUAGUGAAGGAAGAAAGAAAGGCACUACAUGCUGAUUGUAUGUUUGAAGGCGCUGCUGUUAAGAGGUGAAGAUGCUGUUGUGGAAGAUGAAUCUGGGAUGGACUAAGGAUGGAACACUAACAUUUAAAGAAUGGAGGAAGAAAAGCAGUUGUGGAGAGUGAGAAAGACUAGAGAUAAAGCAGAAAAAAUCCUAGAGGGUUUAGUAUCAUGACCAGGAACUAGGCAUUUCAAAAAGGAAGAAACGAUCAACAGUGAUGAAUGAGAAGAGCUGGAAGGAAUGUAGAUGGAGAAAAGCCUAGAGAUUUGUUACCUAGGACACUAGUAAUGACCUCAGAGAAUGCAGAAUGGUAGAGGUGGAAGCAAAACUCAGAGGAUUAUUGAAAAAAAUGAGAAAAGUAGAAAAGUGGAAGCAGGAAGUGCAGACAUUUCCUAUACCAAUGUAGACAUAUUUGUGUUUAUAUACAUACACAUAUUCAUGUGUAUUCCUAGUUUCAAUAAUGCACAAUGUUGAGGUUAACCUUAAAAAAAGAUUAAUUUAGCAAAAGAUAGAAAAGCAGAUCUGAAAAAAGAAUGUAUUCCUUGCCAUUAUAGACUAUGCUUAAUAAGUAAUACUUAGUUUAGUAGAUUGUAGCUUGUGACAACAUGAGAAGUGCAUCCAGUAGAUUCAUAGUAGUUCUUACUGGGGUACCUGCUUAUAUUGUUGCUAGCAAACUAUUUGGGCAUGUUAUUUUUUGUAUCUGGACUAGUUCCUUAUCUGCCAAGAACUAAAUGAUUAAGUCCCAUCUAACAUUUUAGGAUGCUCUGAUCUCCUUUUGACUUAUAGAAAUCACCAAAGUUAGACAGCUAAUGACCACUCUUUUUAAUAUUUCCUCCUUCAUGACAUGGGAAAUGAUUUUUAACGCCACUUUAGCCCAAUAAUUCAGACAUCUCACAUUGUAUAUGCACGUGUGUGUUCAUUUCAGUGCUAUUCACAACAGCAAAAACACAGAAAAAACUUAGGUGCCCCUCAGUGGUGGACUGGAUAAAGAAAAUGUGGCACCUGUACACCAUGGCAUACUAUGCAGCCAUAAAAAAGAAUGAAAUCAUGCCCUUUGCAGCAACAUGGAUGCAGCUGGAAGCCAUUAUCCUAAGUGAACUAACUCAGAAAAUCAAAUACUGCAUAUUCUCACUUUUAAGUGGGAGAUAAACAUUGGGUACUCAUGGAUAUAAAGUUAAAAACAAUAGACACUGGGUUCUAGUAGAGGGUGGAGGGUGGGAGACCAGUAACGGUCGAAAAACUACCUGUUGGGUAUUAUGCUUAUUACUUGGGUGACAGGAUCAUCUAUAUACCCCAAACCUCAGCAUCACACAAUAUACUCAUGUAAUAAACCUGCACUUGUACCCCCCCGAAUCUAAAAGUCAAAAUUAUGUUUUAAAAAAGAAAAUAUCUCAGAGUCUUGUCUUCUAGAUUUUCUUCAUUUCAACAGUUUGCCUUCUAUUCUUUUUCAGUUGCUUAGAUUUAAACUUCCUCAGAGUCUCAGUGAAAAGGACGAGUUUAUUCAGCUGGAAGAAUUGAACCUUGAAAGUAUACCCUUUAACCUUAAGUUUUAAAACACUGGGUUACAAAUAAGAAUAUAAAGUUUUAUUCAUCUCUAAACAUACUAGCAAAGCAACUGAUCUUUUAAACAGAAAAUUAUCAAUCACUAAGGACGCUACCAAAAAUAGAAAUAUUUAAACAUUGUAAUCAGACACCUCUAGUGAUUUGUGAAUAUCUGGAAGUCCUACUGAACCAUCAGCUAUUUGACAUUAUGUAGAGUUAGCUUGAGUCUAGGUGACUUGUUCCUUGGAAAGGCUUAGUUAGCACGGACCUGAAGUACUUCUAGUAUGAAUUCUAUCCUAAUGUCUUUAAGAGCAUUGGGUGGAAAAGAGAUGUACCAACACACACAAUGUUCUGCACAUGGAGUCAUUAAUGAAUAAAUUGGCUGAAGCACCUAGAAAGGUUUCAAAAUGCCCAAUAUCAUCUUACUCAAGGAAAUUUGUUUCCUCGAUGGAAAGCAUGCCAAAAACAAAAAACAAAAACAAACAAACAAAAAAACUAGUAGAACAAACAAGUGGAGAAAAUAGAAAAGCGGAGAAUAGCAGAAACCUUGAGUCCCUUUAUGUUCCUUAAAAAGUUUUUGAUUAUUUUUGUUUUAAUCCAUUCAGCAAGUAUUUAUGGAGUGCCAUCUGUAUGCUAUGAUAAGCUCUAGGGUUACAUUAAUAGAUAAAACAGCCCCCUACCCCUAUCAAAAAAAAAUCCCUACUCUCAUUAGCUUCUUUUAAAUUUAUACCAUUGUUUAAUGGGAAUGAGCCCAGUUGAAUUUUUUCAGUAACAUAUUUUAAAAUAAGCUUUAUUUUCAAAAACAAUUUUAGAUUUACAAAAAAAUUGAAAAGAUAGUUCAGAGAGUUCUCAUCCACUCCACAUAGUUUUCCCUAUUGUUAUCUUUCAUUAGGAUAUAUUUGCCACAAUUAAUGUGUCAAUAUUGAUACAUUAUUUUUAACUAACACCUAUAGUUUAUUUAUAUUUUUUAUAUUUUUCAUUUGUGUCUUUUUUCUGUUCCAGGCUACCAGCCAAUCCAGAAUACCACAUUACAUUUAGUAAUCAGGUUUCUAUCACUUCUUAGGCACUUUAUACAAGUCAUUUCAUUUAGUCCUAACGAGAACCCUGUAAG
rnacentral:lncRNA from 10 species